rnacentral:rRNA from 1 species
CCCUUAGAUGUCCUGGGCUGCACGCGCGCUACACUGACACAUUCAGCGAGUGUUCCUUGUCCGGUGGGAUUGGGUACUCUUCUUAACGUGUGUCGUGAUGGGGAUAGAUUAUUGCAAUUAUUAAUCUUCAACGAGGAAUUCCUAGUAAGUGCAAGUCAUCAGCUUGCGCUGAUUACGUCCCUGCCCUUUGUACACACCGCCCGUCGCUCCUACCGAUUGAAUGUUCCGGUGAAUAAUUCGGACUGCGGUUGCGGGGUCUGUACCACUGCAAUUGCGGGAAGUUUAGUGGACCUUAACAUUUAGAGGAAGGAGAANUCGUAACA